rnacentral:rRNA from 1 species
UGGGGAAUUUUGGACAAUGGGCGAAAGCCUGAUCCAGCAAUGCCGCGUGUGUGAAGAAGGCCUUCGGGUUGUAAAGCACUUUUGUCCGGAAAGAAAUCCUUGGCUCUAAUACAGUCGGGGGAUGACGGUACCGGAAGAAUAAGCACCGGCUAACUACGUGCCAGCAGCCGCGGUAAUACGUAGGGUGCAAGCGUUAAUCGGAAUUACUGGGCGUAAAGCGUGCGCAGGCGGUUUGCUAAGACCGAUGUGAAAUCCCCGGGCUCAACCUGGGAACUGCAUUGGUGACUGGCAGGCUAGAGUAUGGCAGAGGGGGGUAGAAUUCCACGUGUAGCAGUGAAAUGCGUAGAGAUGUGGAGGAAUACCGAUGGCGAAGGCAGCCCCCUGGGCCAAUACUGACGCUCAUGUACGAAAGCGUGGGAGCAAACAGGAUUAGAUACCCUGGUAGUCCACGCCUAAACGAUGUCAACUAGUUGUUGGGAUUCAUUUCCUUAGUAACGUAGCUAACGCGUGAAGUUGACCGCCUGGGGAGUACGGUCGCAAGAUU